rnacentral:pre_miRNA from 12 species
GACCGCACGGGAUAAUCUAUUAUCCCGUGCGGUCCUUUUAACCCGACCGCACGGGAAAAUGAUUAUCCCGUGUGGUC